AAGCUAUUUAGGUAGCGCCUCGUGAACUCAUCUCCGGGGGUAGAGCACUGUUUCGGCUAGGGGGCCAUCCCGGCUUACCAACCCGAUGCAAACUGCGAAUACCGGAGAAUGUUAUCACGGGAGACACACGGCGGGUGCUAACGUCCGUCGUGAAGAGGGAAACAACCCAGACCGCCAGCUAAGGUCCCAAAGUCAUGGUUAAGUGGGAAACGAUGUGGGAAGGCCCAGACAGCCAGGAUGUUGGCUUAGAAGCAGCCAUCAUUUAAAGAAAGCGUAAUAGCUCACUGGUCGAGUCGGCCUGCGCGGAAGAUGUAACGGGGCUAAACCAUG
rnacentral:rRNA from 1 species